AGGGAAUCUUCCCCAAUGGGUGACAGCCUGACGGAGCAACGCCGCGUGAGUGAUGAAGGUCCUCGGCUCGUAAAACUCUGUUAUUAGGGAAGAACAAAUGUGAAAGUAACUAUGCACGUCUUGACGGUAGCUAAUGAGAAAGCCACGGAUAAAUACGUGCCAGCAGCCGCGGUAAUACGUAGGUGGCAAGCGUUAUCCGGAAUUAUUGGGCGUAAAGCGCGCGUAGGCGGUUUUUUAAGUCUGAUGUGAAAGCCCACGGCUCAACCGUGGAGGGUCAUUGGAAACCGAAAAACUUGAGUGCAGAAGAGGAAAGUGGAAUUCCAUGUGUAGCGGUGAAAUGCGCAGAGAUAUGGAGGAACACCAGUGGCGAAGGCGACUUUCUGGUCUGUAACUGACGCUGAUGUGCGAAAGCGUGGGGAGCAAACA
rnacentral:rRNA from 1 species